CUCCCCGUGCCAUAUGCAUUUACAUCCAUCAUAACUAGUUCAAUAAAAUAAAGCCUGCAGUUCUAUAGAUGAAUAUUACUUGAUGCACUGUCAAUAGAACUAUGAGAAUAUCUGGCAGUCCACAUGUUUAAUAAUGUAAAAGUGGUUCAAUAGUUCCAAAAUGAUCCUGCCUGUGGCAAGGUAAUUUGAGCCCCUUCUUUAUGGAUGCCUUGCCUAAAUGGCAUUAUUUUUGAAUUAAAAUAUUCAUAGCGCGUCUGGUCAAUUUCAGAUCAGAUUUGGAUCCAACCUCAUGAGAAAUUAUAUCCUACACCAUAUGCACCAUGUGGUGGUGCACC
rnacentral:lncRNA from 1 species